rnacentral:rRNA from 1 species
CAGCCGCCGCGGGAAUACGAAGGGGGCUAGCGUUGCUCGGAAUGACUGGGCGUAAAGGGCGCGUAGGCGGCGGCCAAAGUCAGGCGUGAAAUUCCCGGGCUCAACCUGGGGGCUGCGCUUGAUACUUGGUUGCUUGAGUGGGGAAGAGGGUCGUGGAAUUCCCAGUGUAGAGGUGAAAUUCGUAGAUAUUGGGAAGAACACCGGUGGCGAAGGCGGCGACCUGGUCCUUUACUGACGCUGAGGCGCGAAAGCGCGGGGAGCAAACAGGAUUAGAUACCCCCGUAGUCCCUGUCUCUUAUAC